rnacentral:tRNA from 1 species
GGUCCCAUAGUUCAAUGGAUAGAAUAAAGGAUUCCGGUUCCUUCGAUUACGGUUCGACUCCGUAUGGGACUA